rnacentral:rRNA from 1 species
UGGGGGAUAUUGCACAAUGGGGGGAACCCUGAUGCAGCGACGCCGCGUGGGUGAAGAAGCGCCUCGGCGCGUAAAGCCCUGUCAGCAGGGAAGAAAAUGACGGUACCUGAAGAAGAAGCCCCGGCUAACUACGUGCCAGCAGCCGNGGUAAUAGCUCUCU